UGUGAAUCUUAUAAUGUCCUUCAACAAUCAAAUGAUGAUGUGCAAGAGCCAGGAACUACCAUGCAGGAGCUGCAGCAGACCAAAUCAAAACAGGUUUGUAGUAAUGCGCAUUUACCACAUGAACAAGUGAUCGCUAAGAAGACUCUCUCCCCAGCGAGUUC